AGACCCGAAACCCGGUGAUCUAGCCAUGGGCAGGUUGAAGGUUGGGUAACACUAACUGGAGGACCGAACCGACUAAUGUUGAAAAAUUAGCGGAUGACCUGUGGCUGGGGGUGAAAGGCCAAUCAAACCGGGAGAUAGCUGGUUCUCCCCGAAAGCUAUUUAGGUAGCGCCUCGUGAAUUCAUCUCCGGGGGUAGAGCACUGUUUCGGCUAGGGGGCCAUCCCGGCUUACCAACCCGAUGCAAACUGCGAAUACCGGAGAAUGUUAUCACGGGAGACACACGGCGGGUGCUAACGUCCGUCGUGAAGAGGGAAACAACCCAGACCGCCAGCUAAGGUCCCAAAGUCAUGGUUAAGUGGGAAACGAUGUGGGAAGGCCCAGACAGCCAGGAUGUUGGCUUAGAAGCAGCCAUCAUUUAAAGAAAGCGUAAUAGCUCACUGGUCGAGUCGGCCUGCGCGGAAGAUGUAACGGGGCUAAACCAUGCACCGAAGCUGCGGCAGCGACGCUGAUGCGUUGUUGGGUAGGGGAGCGUUCUGUAAGCCUGCGAAGGUGACCUGUGAGGGUUGCUGGAGGUAUCAGAAGUGCGAAUGCUGACAUAAGUAACGAUAAAGCGGGUGAAAAGCCCGCUCGCCGGAAGACCAAGGGUUCCUGUCCAACGUUAAUCGGGGCAGGGUGAGUCGACCCCUAAGGCGAGGCCGAAAGGCGUAGUCGAUGGGAAACGGGUUAAUAUUCCCGUACUUGGUGUUACUGCGAAGGGGGGACGGAGAAGGCUAUGUUGGCCGGGCGACGGUUGUCCCGGUUUAAGCGUGUAGGUGUGUGUUCCAGGUAAAUCCGGU
rnacentral:rRNA from 1 species